UACGGGGGGGGCAAGCGUUGUUCGGAAUUACUGGGCGUAAAGGGCUCGUAGGCGGCCAACUAAGUCAGACGUGAAAUCCCUCGGCUUAACCGGGGAACUGCGUCUGAUACUGGAUGGCUUGAGUUUGGGAGAGGGAUGCGGAAUUCCAGGUGUAGCGGUGAAAUGCGUAGAUAUCUGGAGGAACACCGGUGGCGAAGGCGGCAUCCUGGACCAACACUGACGCUGAGUGAGCGAAAGCCAGGGGAGCAAAACGGG
rnacentral:rRNA from 1 species